GCAAGGUGCUAUACUAUAGGUGGACCGCAAUGUCAAAAUUGCUGUUCGGCCAUUGCUCGUGAAAAAACAAAUUUGUUUACAAAACAUAUCAUAUCUUUUGGUGACAAAUGCAUUCGUCGGCAAAAUAGCUGCUCGCGCUUUACUGUAGAUAUCUACAAUCAGCGGUCGAAUUAAAAACAGUGCAGAAGGAUGUUUUGAGUAUGUUUUAGCUUCUAGCCGCGCAAUCAAUGCUCUUUUUCCAAGCAAGAUGUACUUCUGUUUGGAUCCUAUCGGCGGGGAAAAAAGUACUUACGGCGACGGUGACAAGAAAUAGCGCUGAUUGCGAGAUUACCAGAUCCAGAAGAUCCGGAAGGGCUGUUACAAGUAAUUGGUUUUGCUAGAGCAAAAGGAGGUUGACAAUGAUUGCAACAGGUGAAAUAAACUGUUGGAAUCACGACUAUCGAUCACGCCAGAAGAUCCGGAAAGAGUUGUUGAAAGCACUUAUAGCUCUUUAAUCACACUCACAAGCUCUUCAAAUCCUCACUGUCCCCCAAAACUAUUGAAUAAUAUUUGUUUUCCUCAGCGAGUUGAUAUGAAACCAUAACGACACAACCAAACAGUGGAGGCGAUCUGGCGUAGUGGUAACAUCCAUGCCUCUCACGCUAAAGGUCACGAGUUCAAUUCUCACUCCCGACAUUCUUCCAAAAAUGGAAGUAGAAGUGACGAACCAGCCAAAUGAGUUGAAAGUCACUAUAAUAUAGAUAAAAAAAAAAAAAAAAAAAAAAAAAAGACACAACCAAACAAAAAGUAAACAAUGCAGAAAGCUACGUCUCGCAACUCGUCUCACGUAUUGUCAUGAAAGUGUCAAGAACGAAACACCUAUAGUUUAGCAUCUUGGGGGAGAGUUUGUCGGUUACUUUGAUCUAAGCAAUUCGUCUAAAUCUAGGUAAUGCGGACUGAAUCAAAACGGCUGUCUAAAAAGAUCCAAUUGAAAUUUCAAAACAGAUCCAACUAUCAGGAGUGUUAUUUUUCUUAUGAUAAUCAACACUAUAAAAAAGGUAUUGUUAUCAAAGGCAAAGAAAUUAACAUUAUAAAAUGA